AGAGUUUGAUCAUGGCUCAGAAUCAACGCUGGCGGCGUGCCUAACACAUGCAAGUCGAACGCGAGAGUCCCUUCGGGGAUAAUUGAGUGGCGAACGGGUGAGUAACACGUGGAUCAUCUACCUUCCAAUGGGGGAUAACCCGGGGAAACCUGGGCUAAUACCGCAUAACAUCUGCAAAGAUCAAAGGAGCAAUUCGUUGGAAGAUGAGUCCGCGGCUGAUUAGCUAGUUGGCGGGGUAAUGGCCCACCAAGGCUUUGAUCAGUAGCCGGUCUGAGAGGACGCACGGCCACACUGGAACUGAAACACGGUCCAGACUCCUACGGGAGGCAGCAGUGGGGAAUCUUGCACAAUGGGGGAAACCCUGAUGCAGCGACGCCGCGUGAGUGAUGAAGCUCUUCGGAGCGUAAAGCUCUUUCGGCAGGGAAGAGAUAAGACGGUACCUGCAAAAGAAGCCCCGGCUAACUACGUGCCAGCAGCCGCGGUAAUACGUAGGGGGCCAGCGUUGUUCGGAAUUACUGGGCGUAAAGAGCGCGUAGGCGGCGCAGUGUGUUUGGUGUGAAAUCUCCCGGCUUAACCGGGAGGGGCCAUCGAAAACUGCUGUGCUUCGGGUAUGGGAGAGGGGAGUGGAAUUCCCGGUGUAGCGGUGAAAUGCGUAGAGAUCGGGAGGAACCCAGCGACGAAGGUGGCUCCCUGGACCAUUACCGACGCUGAGGCGCGAAAGCUAGGGGAGCAAACAGGAUUAGAUACCCUAGUAGUCC
rnacentral:rRNA from 1 species